rnacentral:rRNA from 1 species
GAUGAACGCUGGCGGCGUGCCUAAUACAUGCAAGUCGAGCGAACAGAUGAGGAGCUUGCUCCUCUGACGUUAGCGGCGGACGGGUGAGUAACACGUGGAUAACCUACCUAUAAGACUGGGAUAACUUCGGGAAACCGGAGCUAAUACCGGAUAAUAUAUUGAACCGCAUGGUUCAAUAGUGAAAGACGGUUUUGCUGUCACUUAUAGAUGGAUCCGCGCCGCAUUAGCUAGUUGGUAAGGUAACGGCUUACCAAGGCAACGAUGCGUAGCCCACCUGAGAGGGGGUCGCGCCCACUCGGACAUGACGACCGUUCCCGGCCCAUACGGGGGGCACGGGUGGGGAAUUUUCCCCAAAGGGCGAAAGCCUGCCGGAGAAACGCCGGGGGAGUGAUGAAGGUCUUCGGUUCGAAAAACCUUUUUUUUAGGGAAAAAAAAAUUGGUAGUUAACUUUCCCCGUUUUGCCGGUACCUAUUCAAAAAGCCCCGGCUAACUACUU